rnacentral:rRNA from 1 species
GAUGAACGCUAGCGGCAGGCUUAACACAUGCAAGUCGAGGGGCAGCGCGAUGUAGCAAUACAUUGGCGGCGACCGGCGCACGGGUGCGUAACACGUAUGGAACUUACCCUUUACUGGGAGAUAGCCCGGAGAAAUCCGGAUUAAUAUCCCAUAAUAAACGAAGUGGCAUCACUUUGUUUUGAAAGCUCCGGCGGUAAAGGAUGGCCAUGCGCACGAUUAGCUAGUAGGUGAGGUAACGGCUCACCUAGGCUACGAUCGUUAGGGGGCCUGAGAGGGUUAUCCCCCACACUGGUACUGAGACACGGACCAGACUCCUACGGGAGGCAGCAGUGAGGAAUAUUGCGCAAUGGAGGCAACUCUGACGCAGCCAUGCCGCGUGCAGGAAGAAGGCGCUACGCGUUGUAAACUGCUUUUAACCGGGAAGAAACCCUCCGACGUGUCGGAGGUUGACGGUACCGGAGGAAUAAGCACCGGCUAACUUCGUGCCAGCAGCCGCGGUAAAGUGACG